GAUGUGAUCUGCAGGUUAUGGGAGUCUGAGCUGUCUUGGACUAAGAGCCUACCUUCGUGCUACCAGUGAACUGUAUUGUGGACCUGUAGCGACAUUGGGAAGUGUGUCGGUGGUCUGUACUAAUGAUCAGAAGGAUAACUCUGUGUUAAUUGUAUCAAAGUUGUGACUUGCCCUUGUGUGUUUGGGUCUGUGAGCGAUAUCCAGGCUGUGCACAGACAGUUGUUCCCCCUGGCUUUGAAUGCUGAUCACAAUGAAGUUAAUGAGCGUGAAGGUAUUGAGUCUGCUGUCACGAGGUUUUACACUAGGGCAAAGGAACAGGCGGGGAUCAGAGCCAAGAGUCGUGUUUGAAGUUCAACCCUAAUUGUAUUGAUUCACUGGUCCGAACUUCGGCACCGCUGCCAAAAUCAAAGUGCGCAAUUUAUAUUGUUUCGUCCACUGGAGUCAAACGUUCACUACUGGAUAUCUACCUGACAGACUUGACAGCAGUAACGCAUUCACUUCUGGAUAGUUUUAUUUAUCUACCCAAUAGAGUUAACCUGAUUAUGACGUCACCAAUACCUAGCAACCGAUUUUGUAUCUUUCUCUUGACAUCACUUGUUCUCUGCUGUACCAAACGAGGUAGGUUUGUGUGUGUUGUUUGUGGUGUGAAUGUGCGUGUGUUUAUGUGUGUGUGUGUGAGCUGUAAGUGAUAUGUUUGACGUUGGUCUAGACAAAGUGAGGAUGAGUGUGCUAGUGAUGAGGAUGAACUGAGAGAACAGAAUGGGGGGGGGAUGUGAAUGAAACAUGGAUCAGUUCACAGUUGUAUGUGACUAGCAUUGAAAUGAGACAUUUGCUAACAUGCUGGACGUCU
rnacentral:sRNA from 1 species